GAGUUUGAUCUUGGCUCAGAGCGAACGCUGGCGGCAUGCUUAACACAUGCAAGUCGCACGGUCAGCAAUGGCAGUGGCGGACGGGGUGAGUAACACGUAGGAAUCUAUCUCUGGGUGGGGGACAACAGUGGGAAACUACUGCUAAUACCGCAUGAUACCUGAGGGUCAAAGGCGUAAGUCGCCUGGAGAGGAGCCUGCGUCUGAUUAGCUUGUUGGUGGGUAAAGGCCUACCAAGGCUACGAUCAGUAGCUGGUCUGAGAGGAUGAUCAGCCACAUUGGGACUGAGACACGGCCCAAACUCCUACGGGAGGCAGCAGUGGGGAAUAUUGGACAAUGGGCGAAAGCCUGAUCCAGCAAUGCCGCGUGUGUGAAGAAGGUCUUCGGAUUGUAAAGCACUUUUGGCAGGGACGAUGAUGACGGUACCUGCAGAAUAAGCCCCGGCUAACUUCGUGCCAGCAGCCGCCGUAAU
rnacentral:rRNA from 1 species